CCUGUUAUUGCUAGUGUGAAGUGCUUGCGGUUUGUGCGAACAACUUGAUAAUCGAAGUUAUCACGUUUUUGGUGAAAAGAUGGGGUCGAGAUCAAAACUAAUGGCACAGUUAGCAAAAAAAUAAAAUAAAGGCGAUAUUCCAAAUUCUGACCGUUUAGCCCAACAAAAAGUAGAUUAUAUUAAAUGUAUAUUAAGUGAAUAAAAUAUUUGGUUAGUAAAUUGAUAUUCUGAAAGAUGCACUGAAAAAUGCAGCAAGAGCUUCUAUUGAUCCUAUCUAUAAAAUUGUCACUACAUAUAUCUACAAACGUUACAUCGAUCGAAGUAAAACCAUCUCAGAUAUUCACAGACAUUAUGUGGAUCAAUGCAAGACGAACAACGUUGUUAUAGUUAAUUGUAUUAUGAUUUGUCGCAUAUUUACUUCAGGACUUCAAUAUACCUUUCUUCAUUCCGAAAAAAGACUUGCGAAUUUUACGAAGCUUACAAAAAUAGUUUCGUGGAAGAAAAAGAAUUAAAGCAAAUUUAUUUACAACAUCUCGCAGAAAAACCUUUGUCCCGAAUAAAGAAGGAAAAGGAUAAGAAAGAUGUCAUAGUAGUUGCCGUCUAUGAUUAACAGGAAAGAGCUGGAGUGAGGUUACUCAUAACUACAGGCACAAGGGAUUACAACUUCGUUCCCAAGAUUGAUGGCGCAUUAGCAAUUUGAUAAUUCUUGCAUCGCCAACUUUUAUGGGUGGUGACCACUUAACAUCAGAUUAUGGCCUAUUUGCCCAUCCGCCUACC